rnacentral:rRNA from 1 species
UACGGAGGGUGCGAGCGUUGUCCGGAAUCACUGGGCGUAAAGGGCGCGUAGGCGGCUCCGGCAGUCUGUGGUGAAAGCCCAGGGCUCAACUCUGGGUCGGCCACGGAUACUCCGGGGCUGGAGCACACUAGAGGCGGAUGGAAUUCCGGGUGUAGCGGUGGAAUGCGUAGAGAUCCGGAAGAACACCGGUGGCGAAGGCGGUCCGCUGGGGUGU